rnacentral:lncRNA from 1 species
UUUAUUAGAGUUUUAUCCAAACGUAGAAUCAUAGCAUAGUUAAGGGUUUUUUGAGCAUACAUAAAUUGACAAUCAGUACUAAACAAUAUAGAAAUGAGUUCCUAUUAGAAACUCGGGACUCUUUCCCUUCAAAUUGAAAGUAAUAAUAUUAUAUUUUUCCACCCUACUCAUGGCCUGUGUGGCAUAUUGUACGUUAUUCUUAAAAAAAAAGAGCAAAUUUAUUAAUUAGGUCAACCACUUAAGUGAGAUCCAUCAUAAAAAUCGCUUACUUCCUCGCUAGUAACUCUCGCUGUGUCGCAAGCAAAGCACCUUAACAGAGCUUUUUUGGGUGAUCUUCGACAUUCUAGAAGCCAAGAAGAGUUUCCAGAAUUUCAAAGCUCAGCAUGUAGGGAGGACUUGUAAUAAUUUAGCUCAUGACCUAGCUAAGUUAGCUCUUAGGAAGUCGGAAUCAUGUAUAUGGCUGGAUGAAUUUCCAGUUGAAAUCUUAUAUUUGUUCUCUUCUUGAGGCAAUGAAAGGAGUACUUUCUUUUCAAAAAUAAAAAAAAAAACCUCUCGCUGUGUCAGAACUGCGGUGAUUUGGAAAAGAAUGGUAGCCAAUGUGCAUAAAACAAGGGCAUGGUUG